rnacentral:rRNA from 1 species
GAUGAACGCUGGCGGCGUGCCUAAUACAUGCAAGUCGAGCGAACAGAUGCGGCGCUUGCUCCUCUGACGUUAGCGGCGGGCGGGUGAGUAACACGUGGAUCACCUCCCUAUCAGACUGGGAUCACUUCGAGACACCGGCUCAAAUACCAGAUAAUAUAUUGAUCCGCAUGGUUCAUUGGAGAAAGACGGCUUUGGUGUCUCUACUAGAUGGAUCCGAGCUUGAUUAGGUAGUUGGUAAGGUAACGGCUUACCAAGGCGACGAUGCGUAGCCGAACUGAGAGGGUGGUCGCCCACACUGGAACGGAGACACGGUCCAGAGUCCUACGGGAGGCAGCAGUAGGGAAUCGUCCGCAAUGGGCGAAAGCCUGACGGAGCGACGCCGCGUGAGUGAUGAAGGUCUUCGGAGCGUAAAACUCUGUUACGAGGGAAGAACAAAUGUGGAAGUAACUAUGCACGGCUUGACGGUACCUAAUCAGAAAGCCACGGCUAACUACGUG